rnacentral:rRNA from 1 species
AGUGAACGCUGGCGGUAGGCCUAACACAUGCAAGUCGAACGGCAGCACAGUAAGAGCUUGCUCUUACGGGUGGCGAGUGGCGGACGGGUGAGGAAUACAUCGGAAUCUACUUUUUCGUGGGGGAUAACUUAGGGCAACUUACGCUAAUACCGCAUACGACCUACGGGUGAAAGCAGGGGAUCUUCGGACCUUGCGCGAUUGAAUGAGCCGAUGUCGGAUUAGCUAGUUGGCGGGGUAAAGGCCCACCAAGGCGACGAUCCGUAGCUGGUCUGAGAGGAUGAUCAGCCACACUGGAACUGAGACACGGUCCAGACUCCUACGGGAGGCAGCAGUGGGGAAUAUUGGACAAUGGGCGCAAGCCUGAUCCAGCCAUACCGCGUGGGUGAAGAAGGCCUUCGGGUUGUAAAGCCCUUUUGUUGGGAAAGAAAAGCAGCAGGUUAAUACCCCGCUGCUCUGACGGUACCCAAAGAAUAAGCACCGGCUAACUUCGUG